GAGGGGUUGGCGCAAUUGGUAGCGCGCCAGAUUCCAGAAAUGGGUGUCUCCUGGCGGUUAGCGGUUCAAGUCCGUUAUCCCUCA